rnacentral:pre_miRNA from 1 species
UGUUAAUAUUUUCAUAUAUUUGUACUGUUAAAAACCGACGUGGUUGACGGAAUAUUCAAGUGACACGUGGCAUGUCAUAUGUACCUCAUGCUGAUGUAAGGACUAGUCUUUAACAGUAAAAUUGGAUGAAUUUUUUAAUA